rnacentral:rRNA from 1 species
UGGGGAAUAUUGGACAAUGGGCGAAAGCCUGAUCCAGCCAUGCCGCGUGUGUGAAGAAGGUCUUCGGAUUGUAAAGCACUUUAAGUUGGGAGGAAGGGCAGUAAGCGAAUACCUUGCUGUUUUGACGUUACCGACAGAAUAAGCACCGGCUAACUCUGUGCCAGCAGCCGCGGUAAUACAGAGGGUGCAAGCGUUAAUCGGAAUUACUGGGCGUAAAGCGCGCGUAGGUGGUUCGUUAAGUUGAAUGUGAAAGCCCCGGGCUCAACCAGGGAACUGCAUCCAAAACUGGCGAGCUAGAGUAGGGCAGAGGGUGGUGGAAUUUCCUGUGUAGCGGUGAAAUGCGUAGAUAUAGGAAGGAACACCAGUGGCGAAGGCGACCACCUGGGCUCAUACUGACACUGAGGUGCGAAAGCGUGGGGAGCAAACAGG